rnacentral:rRNA from 1 species
AUGGCCCUCUCAUCAGUUUUCAGGAGAGUAAACAUCAAAGAACUGAUCUCAAAUGUUCCAGUGUACACUAGCUCAACAGAGACAUCUGGAGGAAUGAGCUUGGUGUUUAGGCGUUGGGCCACAAAAAAGACUGCUGGGUCAACGAAAAAUGGCCGCGACUCUAACCCCAAGUAUCUGGGUGUUAAGAAAUUUGGUGGAGAGAAAGUGGAACCAGGAAACAUCAUCGUACGACAAAGAGGAACCCGCUUCCAUCCUGGGAACUAUGUUGGCAUGGGGAAGGAUCACACUAUCUUCUCUCUGAAGGAAGGCCAUGUGCGGUUCGAGCGGAAUAAGCUGACUGGCAGGAAACCUGUAGCUGGGCACACUCUCCACCCUGUUUACGCCAAUGGUUCAGCCACUGCAGCUGACAUGGAGCUACUGUAG